rnacentral:lncRNA from 1 species
CCGGUGAGGUUGCUGUGGAAUGUAACAUACCAGAUUUUAAAUAUAAAAGUAAAAAUAAAUAAAAAUAGUAUUAGAUACUAUUUUAUUGGAUUUCGAGAAGUGAAAUAUAGGUUGGGAAUGACCUGUACUGAAAUCGGAGCGAAAACAAAAAAUUUAGAAUUUUCUGUGUAAAACGGGGCAGAUAAAUUAGCAGAAAAUGCACAGUGUUAGAAAAUUAUGAAAACUGGAGGAUAUGUCAAAAAUAUUUUUAUGAGGCUAGAUUUAAAGUUUCAUU